AUUGAACGCUGGCGGCAGGCUUAACACAUGCAAGUCGAGCGAGCGGCGGACGGGUGAGUAAUGUCUGGGAAACUGCCUGAUGGAGGGGGAUAACUACUGGAAACGGUAGCUAAUACCGCAUACCAUCAGAUGGGCCCAGAUGGGAUUAGCUAGUUGGUGGGGUAAUGGCUCACCAAGGCGACGAUCCCUAGCUGGUCUGAGAGGAUGACCAGCCACAAUGGAACGGAGACACGGUCCAGCCUCCUACGGGGGGCAGCAGGGGGGAAUAUUGGACAAUGGGGGCAAGCCGGAUGCAGCCAUGCCGCGGGGGUGGAGAAGGCCUUCGGGUUGUAAAGCACUUUCAGCGGGGAGGCGGUACCCGCAGAAAAAGCAACGGCGAACUCCGUGCCAGCAGCCGCGGUAAUAC
rnacentral:rRNA from 1 species